rnacentral:tRNA from 24 species
UAGUUCAGUCGGUAGAACGGCGGACUGUUAAUCCGUAUGUCACUGGUUCGAGUCCAGU